rnacentral:antisense_RNA from 1 species
CUUGAUGGAGCCCAGCCACAGGGGGCUGCCCUCGGGACGGUCCUGGCCGUACGUGGCCAGGAGGGCCUGGGCCUC